UACGUAGGGAGCGAGCGUUGUCCGGAAUUACUGGGUGUAAAGGGAGCGUAGGCGGGGAUGCAAGUUGGGUGUCAAAACUACCGGCUCAACUGGUAGUCGCACUCAAAACUGCAGCUCUUGAGUGAAGUAGAGGCAGGCGGAAUUCCUAGUGUAGCGGUGAAAUGCGUAGAUAUUAGGAGGAACACCAGUGGCGAAGGCGGCCUGCUGGGCUUUUACUGACGCUGAGGCUCGAAAGCGUGGGGAGCAAACAGG
rnacentral:rRNA from 1 species